rnacentral:lncRNA from 1 species
CUUUUUCUGAGAGGAGCAAAUGUCAUCCCACAGCCAAGAUUUAGAAAUUUGCCACACCGGAUCAGAAACAGAUCCAUCUGUGACGAGGUCAAGGUUCUCCUAGGCAAAGGCAUCAGCCUCGGAGUCCCCAUAGCCUGCAGGGUGGCCUCCAGCCUGAGGUCAACACUGCCUGUGGGGCUACCAACCGGUGCUGUCCUGUCCCUAGCUGGUAACUACCCAGAUUUCCAUUUCAGAAGGUGCCCAUGGAGGCCAGAAGAAGACAGUGGAUCCUCUGAACCUGGAGUUAAAGGCCUGAUGAACCUUUGGAGUCUGACCUAGAACUUGCUCUGUAGACCAGGCUGACCUCGAACUCACAGAGAUCCUCCUGCCUCUGCUUCUCCAGUGCUGGGAUUCAAGGUGUCUCCAUCACUGCAUGGUUAAACUCAACUUUCAAAUCAUAAGAAGAGAAUAGUUGUUUGAAAGAGUGGUUGUAGCUCUGGGCAAUCCCCCCCCCCAUUAGUUGUUGCACCAGAUUCCUCUAUAAGAGUUAGAAAUAGAUAUCUACAGAGUCCCAUCUAUAGUGUUUCUAAGACAAAACUGGAAGCAUCCUCUUCCUGAUGUGCUUCAAUGGUACAAUUCCUAGGAGAG